rnacentral:rRNA from 1 species
CGCCUCUUGUUAAAACAUAAGAGGUCCCGCCUGCCCAGUGACUCUGUUCAACGGCCGCGGUAUCCUAACCGUGCGAAGGUAGCGUAAUCACUUGUUCUUUAAAUGAGGACUAGUAUGAAUGGCACCACGAAGGUUAUACUGUCUCCUUUUUCCAAUCAGUGAAACUAAUCUCCCCGUGAAGAAGCGGGGAUAAAAAUAUAAGACGAGAAGACCCUAUGGAGCUUUAAACGACGUAACACCUGCUUUAACUUAGCCAACUUUCAGAAAAAUCUCUCCCACCCCUGCAGAAUGAUUAUCAGUUUUAGGUUGGGGUGACCGCGGAGCAUAGACCAACCUCCUCAUUGAAAGGAACCCACUCCUUAGCCAAGAGCUACACCUCCACGCACCAAUAAAAUGACAUUAAUUGACCCAAUAUAUUGAUCAACGAACCAAGUUACCCUAGGGAUAACAGCGCAAUCCACUUUAAGAGCCCCUAUCGACAAGUGGGUUUACGACCUCGAUGUUGGAUCAGGGUAUCCCGGUGGUGCAGCCGCUACCAAAGGUUCGUUUGUUCAACGAUUAAAACCCU